rnacentral:rRNA from 1 species
GAUGAACGCUGGCGGCGUGCCUAAUACAUGCAAGUCGAGCGAACAGAUAAGGAGCUUGCUCCUUUGACGUUAGCGGCGGACGGGUGAGUAACACGUGGAUAACCUACCUAUAAGACUGGGAUAACUUCGGGAAACCGGAGCUAAUACCGGAUAACAUAUUGAACCGCAUGGUUCAAUAGUGAAAGGCGGCUUUGCUGUCACUUAUAGAUGGAUCCGCGCCGUAUUAGCUAGUUGGUAAGGUAACGGCUUACCAAGGCAACGAUACGUAGCCGACCUGAGAGGGUGACAGGCCACACUGGAACUGAGACCCGGUCCAGACUCCUACGGGAGGCAGCAGUAGGGAAUCUUCCGCAAUGGGCGAAAGCCGGACGGAGCAACGCCGCGUGAGUGAUGAAGGUCUUCGGAUCGUAAAACUCUGUUAUUAGGGAAGAAAAAAUGUGUAAGUAACUAUGCACGUCUUGACGGUACCUAAUCAGAAAGCCACGGCUAACUACGUG